rnacentral:tRNA from 2 species
ACUGGAGUGGGUUGUUGGCAUCCCAUGCUGAUUCUGACUCAGCGCCACGCUGGUUCGAUUCCAGCCUCCAGUGC